rnacentral:lncRNA from 1 species
CAGUGUGUGGGCCAUAGCCCAAAACAGUAACAGAGUGUGGGCCUUAGCCCAAUUCAGUAACAGUGUGGGCCUUAGCCCAAAACAGUAAUUACUACAACUGCAAUAAUGCAACCCAUCCCAAUCCAGCCAACACACCACUCCGUACCACUAACACACCAUGUGGGGAUAAAAUCGACCCACUCAGCCAACACACCAAUAUCGCAGCAAAGCUGCCAGUAACAGUAAUGCAGCAGAGCUACCAGUAUCAAUAACGC